UUCGACAAAAUCCAACACCAAGAACAGUCAUGAACGAGCAACAACAGGUUAAACGAUAGCAACAACAGGUUAAACAAUAGGUAUCCUAACGUGACAUAAACACAAACGAAGAGCUGAGAACAGGCCUGAUGUAACAUUCAGAGUUAUU